GUAGUCUCACAAGAUACCAGGAGUCAGGGAGUCAUCCCCUCCUCCCAAAAUAAAAGACACACUAGGUCCCUCCAGUCACACUAGGUUCCAGGAGUCACACUAGGUUCCAGGAGUCACACUAGGUCCCUCCAGUCACACUAGGUUCCAGCAGUCACACUAGGUCCCUCCAGUCACACUAGGUUCCAGGAGUCACACUAGGUCCCUCCAGUCACAC